UACGUAGGGGGCAAGCGUUGUCCGGAAUCACUGGGCGUAAAGCGUGCGUAGGCGGUUGAUUAAGUCUGCUGUGAAAGCCCUGGGCUCAACCUGGGAACUGCAGUGGAUACUGGUCAGCUAGAGUGUGAUAGAGGAUGGUGGAAUUCCCGGUGUAGCGGUGAAAUGCGUAGAGAUCGGGAGGAACACCAGUGGCGAAGGCGGCCAUCUGGAUCAACACUGACGCUGAGGCACGAAAGCGUGGGGAGCAAACAGG
rnacentral:rRNA from 1 species